rnacentral:rRNA from 1 species
UUCCUUUGGUCUCCCUUCUUAGGUAUGCCCUGCCCCAUGAAAAACUUAAAUGGCCGCAUAUGUGCUAAGGUAGCAAAAUCAAUUGCCGCUUAAUUAGUGGCUAGUAUGAAUGGGUUCACAAAAAGAUAGCUGUCUCUACCAAACCCAUAUAAACUAACCUUCAAGUGAAAAGGCUUGAAUCAACACAAAAGACAAAAAGACCCUGUCGCGCUUAAGGGACCUAAAAUAUUAAUAUAUAUGUAAUCCCUUUAGUUGGGACGACUUCUGCUAAACCAAAACACCAGUUUCUUUUCAAGAACUAGAAUUCUCUAACUCUGACCCUAAUAAGAUCAGGCAAUUAGCAACCGCAGGGAUAACAGACUAAUUUUCUUACUAGAGCCCAUAUCGACUAAGAAGGUUGGCACCUCGAUGUUGGCUUAGGGGAGCAGCUAGAUGCAGCAAUCUAGCCUGGAGGUUUGUUCAACCUAUAAAUCCCU